rnacentral:rRNA from 1 species
ACAGCCAUACCACAUUGAAAACACAGGUUCUCGUCCGAUCAUCGAAGUUAAGCAAUGUCGGGCCCGGUCAGUAUUUGGGAGGGUGAUUACCUGGGAACACCGGGUGCUGUAGGCU